AAAAUACUCCCUUCGCCCGAAAAUACUUGUCGAAGAAAUAGAUGAAUCUAAACAUAUAUUUUAGUUAUAGAUACAUCUAAUUUUAUCCAUUUCUCCGACAAGUAUUUCGGGACCGAGAGAGUACAUA
rfam:Triticum aestivum genome assembly, contig: Triticum_aestivum_CS42_TGACv1_scaffold_031712_1BL